AGAGUCGGCCAGACAACCGCCGGUGUCCUUGCGGACGCUGGAGGAAAGUCCGGGCUCCAUCGGGCAGGGCGCCAGGUAACGCCUGGAGGAUGCGAGUCCAUGGAAAGUGCCACAGAAAACAUACCGCCUAAGCGCAACUUGUUUAUGACACGGGGCGCCGGCAAGGGUGAAAAGGUGCGGUAAGAGCGCACCGCGCGGGUGGUAACACGCCGCGGCAGGGUAAACCCCGCCUGGAGCAAGACCAAAUAGGGGAGUACGCGGGCUUAAAGCUCCGCACCGCGCGCCUGAGCGGACUCCCGGGUAGGUCGCUAGAGGCAGCCGGUGACGGCUGUCCCAGAUGAAUGGUUGUCCACGACAGAACCCGGCUUACGGCCGGCUCUUUCU
rnacentral:RNase_P_RNA from 1 species